GGGGACUUGUCUGUGUUUUUGCUGCUGUAUCCAUACUGCCUACAGUGGUGUCUCCCUAUAACCAGAUGCAGAACCUGGAAUGAGCAUUGGAAGGAGCAUAACAUUUGUUUGUGACUGAUAUGUAUGCAUGUCAGCAUCACCGAAAUCCAAACUAAACUACAAAGGACAGUUACUUCCUCAGCAGAAAAAUAACCACAGAACAAUAAUGCCUCAACCUCUACUCUUGAAUUGAUGCAGUCUUGGUCAUUGCCUGAGAAUGGCUGGCCCAGCUUCCCAGUUUAUGAGGACACCUAGAUCCAGAGACCAUUUCCAGCUGCUUCUCAGUUUAUAUGUCUUAGUUCAAAAUCCCGAGAAAGAGAGAAUUUGUCUCAGUCCAUAGGCCAGAGGUCUGAACCUCAGCUUCAUCCAAUGUG